CUUGUAAAUUUGUGGGGACUUAAAAAUUUAAUUAAUUUUUUUUUCAAUAAACUUUACCGGCCGUUGCAAAGAGCAAAUAUAAAUAUUCAAUUUUACAGUACAUCAGUAUCAUAUCAGUAUAUA
ensembl:ncRNA Y39A1B.9 ncRNA